rnacentral:rRNA from 1 species
UUAGUUAUGUUCUUGAAACUCAAAGAAUUUGGCGGUGUUUUAGUCCUUUCAGAGGAACCUGUCCCGUGAUCGAUAGUCCACGUUUUAUCUUACUUAUUCUUGUUAACAGCUUGUAUACCGCCGUCGUCAGAAUGUCCUUUGAGGGAGAUAAUUUUCUGGAUUUUUAAAUAAAAUUGAUGUCAGGUCAAGGUGCAGUUUAUGAUUAAGUGGAGAUGGGUUACAAUAAAUUUAUUUAUACGGACAAUUAAUGGAAGUAUUGAUUUGAAGGUGGAUUUGAUUGUAAUUUAUUCAAUAAAAUUUGAAUGAUUUUGGCUCUAAAACAUGCACACAUCGCCCGUCGCUCUUA